AAGGAGUCUAACAUAUCUGCGAGUGUUUGGGUGUCAAACCCAAGCGCGUAAUGAAAGUGAACGUAGGAGGGAUCCGCAAGGAGCACCUUCGACCGAUCCGGAAGUAUUCUGAUGGAUUUGAGUAAGAGCAUAUAUGCUGGGACCCGAAAGAUGGUGAACUAUGCCUGAAUAGGGCGAAGCCAGGGGAAACUCUGGUGGAGGCUCGUAGCGAUUCUGACGUGCAAAUCGAUCGUCAAAUUUGGGUAUAGGGGCGAAAGACUAAUCGAACCAUCUAGUAGCUGGUUCCUGC
rnacentral:misc_RNA from 1 species